AUUGAACGCUGGCGGCAUGCCUUACACAUGCAAGUCGAACGGCAGCAUGGAGGAGCUUGCUCCUCUGAUGGCGAGUGGCGAACGGGUGAGUAAAGCAUCGGAACGUGCCGUGUAGUGGGGGAUAACGUAGCGAAAGUUACGCUAAUACCGCAUACGCACCGAGGUGGAAAGCAGGGGAUCGCAAGACCUUGCGCUAUACGAGCGGCCGAUGUCAGAUUAGCUAGUUGGUAGGGUAAAGGCCUACCAAGGCGACGAUCUGUAGCGGGUCUGAGAGGAUGAUCCGCCACACUGGGACUGAGACACGGCCCAGACUCCUACGGGAGGCAGCAGUGGGGGAAUUUUGGUACAAUGGGGGAAACCCGUACGAUCCAGCCAUGCCGCCGUGAGUGAAG
rnacentral:rRNA from 1 species